rnacentral:lncRNA from 1 species
AAGAAGGGCAUCAUGGAAAUGAUAAAUUCUACGGUGUUAUUACAAUUCAAAAUAACAUAGCGAGCAGGACAUGCACAGGGUUGUGAGCAAAAUUCUGGAACAGGUUGAAGAAAUAAAUUUAGAAAAUUCAAUGGUUAUUUGGUAUCCUACAUAUGCAAAUUCAAACUGUGAUUUUUCACUUAGAAAUCUAAACAUUAACUUGCUUGCAGCAGCAGCAGCAGCAGCAGCAGUAAUAGCAAUAGCAUUUAGAAAGCUAUGGCCCACAGCAUGCAAUCACAAACAUCUUCAUUAUAGAGAAAUUUGAAAGUUAUAGCUCAACAGCCACAUAAGUUUACACUUUUAGCUUAUAGAAAUGCUAUAGAUUGAUCAUGACAUGACAUCUUACUGUUUUUUAAGUAAAACAUAAUGGAACCCUUAUCUCAUCAUCACAUAAUCAUCAUAAUAGCAGUAACAUUUUGGAAGCAAUAACCCCGAACAUGCAAUCACAAACACAUUCAUUAUAAAGAUUUUUGAAAGUUAUACACAACAGCUGCAAAAUUGAUGCUUUUAGCUCAUAGAAUACUAUUGAUUGAUCAUUAUAUCACAUCUUAUUGUUAUUUACUUAAAAAAUGUAACAGACUUCUAAUAUCAUUAACAGCAUUUGCUUACUUUCUCUAAUGAUUGCGUCCUUUAAAACACCAUAUUUUGAC